AUAGAAAGGACGCAAUAUAGUAAAUAAAGAGAGAAUGGAAUCGAACGCCUUGAUUUGGUUUCGGAAGGGACUUCGGAUCCACGACAAUCCGGCGCUGAACCAUGCGAGGCGGGGAUCGAAGCACCUCUUCCCGGUGUUCGUGCUCGACCCCCGGUACCUGGACCCUGACCCCUCCGCCUUCUCCCCCGGCUCCGCCCGCUCUGCUCUCAACCGGAUCCGCUUCCUCCUCGACUGCCUCUCCGAUCUCGACGCCACCCUCCGGACCCUCGGCUCUCGCCUCCUCCUCCUCCGAGGAGAUCCCGUCCGAGUCCUCUGCGCCAUAUUGAAGGAUUGGAAAAUUGGAAAGCUCUGCUACGAAUUCGACACCGAGCCAUACUCGUUCGCCCAGGAUAAACAAGUCAAAGAUUUUGCCUCUCUAUCUGGAAUCGAGGUGUUCUCCCCUGUGAGCCAUACUCUCUUCAAUCCUGCAGUUGUUAUAGAAAAGAAUGGGGGACGGCCACCUUUGACAUAUCAAUCAUUUGUAAAGCUUGCUGGAGAACCCCCGGCUCCACUUACUGAGACAUACUCUGAGCUUCCUCCUGUUGGAAACGUUGAGGGAUAUGAAUUGCUGAGUGUUCCUUCAAUUGAAGAGCUUGGCUAUGGUGAUUUAAGUCAGGAAGAAUUUUCUCCAUUUCGAGGUGGUGAAACAGAAGCUCUUAAGAGAUUGAAGGAGGCUCUUGAAGAUAAGGAGUGGGUAGCAACUUUUGAGAAACCAAAGAGCGAUCCAUCUGCCUUCCUAAAGCCAGCAACCACUGUCUUAUCACCAUAUUUGAAGUUUGGUUGUCUUUCUUCGAGGUACUUCUAUCAGUGUCUUCAUAAUGUUUAUACGACUGUAGGAAAGCACACCUCUCCUCCAGUUUCACUUGUUGGGCAGUUAUUAUGGCGCGAGUUCUUCUAUACUGUGGCCUUCGGAACGCCUCAUUUUGAUCAGAUGAUAGGGAAUAAAAUCUGCAAGCAGAUUCCUUGGAGGGAUGAUGAAGAACUGUUCGUAGCUUGGAGAGAAGGUCGGACAGGAUAUCCUUGGAUUGAUGCCAUCAUGAUCCAGCUUAAGAAGUGGGGUUGGAUGCACCAUCUAGCACGGCAUUCAGUUGCAUGUUUCCUAACUCGUGGUGAUCUGUUCAUUCACUGGGAAAAGGGGCGUGAUGUCUUCAAGAGACUACUGAUAGAUUCAGAUUGGGCCAUAAAUAAUGGUAAUUGGUUAUGGUUGUCUUGUUCAUCCUUUUUUUACCAGUAUAAUCGUAUCUACUCUCCAAUCUCUUUUGGGAAGAAAUAUGAUCCUGAUGGAAACUAUAUUCGGCAUUUUCUGCCAGUUCUGAAAGACAUGCCAAAGGAGUAUAUUUAUGAACCUUGGACUGCACCGCUGAGUGUCCAAAAGAAAGCAAAUUGCAUAAUCGGGAAAGACUAUCCGAAGCGAGAAGUACCAUCAAAUGCCGCACAGAACAGCUAGCUAUAUAUGGUUUAAAUGGAUCAUCCACAGAAAUCCCUGGUCUAUAUUUCUGUUCCAGCCAAGUUUUGAUGGUACACAGAUUGCAUCAAACUUCAGCUGCAUCCACACUCUACUUUCGGUGAAGCCUGUGAUGAGUUGCAGUGGUUGUUCAUGACGCUGCAAGCAAGGAAUGCAGGAAAAAGAUGGCAGAGGCUUAUGCACUGGACCAUUUAGGUGAUAAUUUGGCAAGCAAAGAGAUUUCUAAUGGUUUACGAAGAAAAUUGGGGGAUGAAAAGGCUUCUCGAUCCUCAUCUUUGAAACAAAAGAAAAUUCGGAUCAAAUGAUGCAGCACCGAGGUAGCAUUGCUUAUGCCUAGAUUCUUGGCCGCUGCAGCUGAUUCCACCACAUGUUCUUUAUCUGUUAUGCACUGCAAUUUUAUGCAGUAAACCACAUGCUAGUGCUUUAUGUUUCUUAAAGAGAUAUAUUUAUUAAUUAGUGUUGAUUUUAUGUACUAAAACAGACAAGGACUGUCAACUUUCAUGCUACAUCCAUCAGAGCUUUGAUCUAAUCUACCUGAUGAAAAAUCAGAGCUUAUGUGCUUGCUUUUGUA